CCUACGGGUGGCAGCAGUGGGGAAUAUUGCACAAUGGGCGCAAGCCUGAUGCAGCCAUGCCGCGUGUGUGAAGAAGACCUUCGGGUUGUAAAGCACUUUCAGCGGGGAGGAAGGCGGUGAGGUUAAUAACCUCAUCGAUUGACGUUACCCGCAGAAGAAGCACCGGCUAACUCCGUGCCAGCAGCCGCGGUAAUACGGAGGGUGCAAGCGUUAAUCGGAAUUACUGGGCGUAAAGCGCACGCAGGCGGUCUGUCAAGUCGGAUGUGAAAUCCCCGGGCUCAACCUGGGAACUGCAUUCGAAACUGGCAGGCUAGAGUCUUGUAGAGGGGGGUAGAAUUCCAGGUGUAGCGGUGAAAUGCGUAGAGAUCUGGAGGAAUACCGGUGGCGAAGGCGGCCCCCUGGACAAAGACUGACGCUCAGGUGCGAAAGCGUGGGGAGCAAACAGGAUUAGAUACCCCGGUAGUC
rnacentral:rRNA from 1 species